UCGGACAUGGUGUACGGUGCACGGCCUCUUGCUUUCAAAUGGUACUACCUGGAACGCUUGCAGAGGCAGUUCGGGGUUCGACUCCCCGUGUCCGAA